UACGGGGGAUGCAAGCGUUAUCCGGAUUUAUUAGGUUUAAAGGGUGUGUAGGCGGGUCAAUAAGUCAGUGGUGAAAUCUCCCGGCUUAACUGGGAAACUGCCAUUGAUACUGUCGAUCUUGAAUGCAGUUGAGGUAGGCGGAAUGUGUAAUGUAGCGGUGAAAUGCUUAGAUAUUACACAGAACACCGAUUGCGAAGGCAGCUUGCUAAACUGUGAUUGACGCUGAGACACGAAAGCGUGGGGAG
rnacentral:rRNA from 1 species